CAAUAGCGUAUAUUAAAGUUGUUGCGGUUAAAAAGCUCGUAGUUGGAUUUCUGCCGAGGACGACCGGUCCGCCCUCCGGGUGAGCAUCUGGCUCGGCCUAGGCAUCUUCUUGGGGAGCGUAUCUGCACUUCAUUGUGUGGUGCGGUAUCCAAGACUUUUACUUUGAGGAAAUUAGAGUGUUUCAAGCAGGCCCACGCCUUGAAUACAUUAGCAUGGAAUAAUAAGGUAGGACCUCGGUUCUAUUUUGUUGGUUUCUAGAAUUGAGGUAAUGAUUAAUAGGGACAGUUGGGGGUAUUCAUAUUUGUGCGUCAGAGGUGAAAUUCUUGGAUCGCAGAAAGAUGAGCUAAGGCGAAAGCAUUUACCAAGGAUGUUUNCAUUAA
rnacentral:rRNA from 1 species